CUCUGACGGAGCAACGCCGCGUGAGUGAUGAAAGGUUUUCGGAUCGUAAAGCUCUGUUGUUAGGGAAGAACAAGUGCCGUUCGAAUAGGGCGGCACCUUGACGGUACCUAACCAGAAAGCCACGGCUAACUACGUGCCAGCAGCCGCGGUAAUACGUAGGUGGCAAGCGUUGUCCGGAAUUAUUGGGCGUAAAGCGCGCGCAGGUGGUUUCUUAAGUCUGAUGUGAAAGCCCACGGCUCAACCGUGGAGGGUCAUUGGAAACUGGGGAACUUGAGUGCAGAAGAGGAAAGUGGAAUUCCAAGUGUAGCGGUGAAAUGCGUUGAUAUUUGGAGGAACACCAGUGGCGAAGGCGACUUUCUGGUCUGUAACUGACACUGAGGCGCGAAAGCGUGGGGGAGCAUAACAGGAUUAGAUACCCUGGUAGUCCCACGCCGUAAACGAUGAGUGCUAAGUGUUAGGGGGUUUCCGCCCUUUAGUGCUGCAGCUAACGCAUUAAGCACUCCGCCUGGGGAGUACGGUCGCAAGACUGAAACUCAAAGGAAUUGACGGGGGCCCGCACAAGCGGUGGAGCAUGUGGUUUAAUUCGAAGCAACGCGAAGAACCUUACCAGGUCUUGACAUCCUCUGACAACCCUAGAGAUUGGGCUUUCC
rnacentral:rRNA from 2 species